UACGUAGGGACCAAGCGUUGUUCGGAUUUACUGGGCGUAAAGGGCGCGUAGGCGGCUUAACAAGUCACUUGUGAAAUCUCCGGGCUUAACUCGGAACGGCCAAGUGAAACUGUCAAGCUAGAGUGCAGAAGGGGCAAACGGAAUUCUUGGUGUAGCGGUGAAAUGCGUAGAUAUCAAGAGGAACACCUGAGGUGAAGACGGGUUGCUGGGCUGACACUGACGCUGAGGCGCGAAAGCCAGGGGAGCAAACGGG
rnacentral:rRNA from 1 species